GAAACCCAGAGUCUGUGUCUUAGGCAUUAAGCUGGUAUUCCAGACUUCCCUUCUGAGUCAUAGAUGAAAAAUGCCAUCUUGCAACUGAGGCAGCAAUUCCUUUGCUAAGAAACCACAUUCCUAAUUUCCCAAUGUUGACAUUAAUGUCCAAUUCUUGGUAUAUAAGAGAACUGUUGUGUUUGCAGUAUACAUAUAUCUGAGCAUUCAUCUUUCUGAUAGCAAACUUCUCAAGGAUUUUUUUCUCCUAUUAGAGAACACUUAGUACAUUUUGAAUAGUCACAAUACUGGAUGACUGAUGAACUCAUUUUGUGAGUGCUGGAGACUCUUGAGAGUCCCUUGGACAGCAAGGAAAUCAAACCCUAAAGGAUAUCAAUCCUGAAUGUUUAUUGGAAGGACUGAUGCUGAAGCUCCAAAACUCUGACCACCUGAUGAGAAGAGCUGACUCAUUAGAAAAGACCCUGAUGCCAGGAAAGAUUGAGGGCAAAAGGAGAAGGCAGCGGGAGAGGAUACGAUGCCACCAUCAUGGAUGCAGGCAUCAGCCAUACAUUCUAGUUAUUGCCGGAGUGAAAGUGGAAGUCAAGAGGUUUAGGAAAAGCGACUAGAGAGUCCAUAGUUUUCAUGAUCAUCAAAGGUCCUUGCUGCUGCUACUGCUAAAUCGCUUCAGUCGUGUCCGACUCUGUGCGGCCCCACAGACGGCAGCUCACCAGGCUCCGCCGUCCCUGGGAUUCUCCAGGCAAGAACACUGGAGUGGGUUGCCAUUUCCUUCUCCAAUGCAUGAAGGUGAAAAGUGAAAGUGAAGUCACUCAGUAAGUGCCGACUCUUCGUGACCCCAUGGACUAGAGCCUACCAGGCUCCUCCAUCCAUGGGAUUUUCCAGGCAAGAGUACUGGAGUGGGUUGCCAUUGCCUUCUCCUCAAAGGUCCUUAUCCCCCUAAAAAGUUAACAAUUGUUGAUUUAAGGAGUCUUUGUUCAUGGAAAAUCCAGUGUGCCAAUAAAAUGCAAUACGACUUUGAAUUAAAAGAUUUGGGAGAAUGGCAUUGAAACAUGUAAAAUAUCAUGUAUGAAACGAGAUGCCAGUCCAGGUUCAAUGCACGAUACUGGAUGCUUGGGCCUAGUGCACUAGGAUGACCCAGAGGGAUGGUAUGGGGAGGGAGGUGGGAGGAGGGUUCAGGAUGGGGAACACAUGUAUACCUGUGGCGGAUUCAUUUUGAUAUUUGGCAAAACUAAUACAAUUAUGUAAAGUUUAAAAAUAAAAU
ensembl:lncRNA